GAUCUCAUCAUCGACAUCAUCGAAACUUCUUUCGAUAGACCAGAACUCUUCUGAUUCAGACAAUUAGAAUGAUCGAUCAUCAAUAUCAUUCUAAUUACUCUCAAAAUCCAUCAGUGACACCUAGCAGUAUGUGGUGGCAACCCAUCAGAACUGAAGAUGAACCUCUCGGUGCAGCUUCCUGUGUGAUUGAGUUACUCUAUCAUGAGUCCCGACUGAAUUAGGGUUAAGGUGAACUCGUCAAACCCAACAUCAGUCAUAUGAGUUAAUCGAUUGAUCCGAGUC
rnacentral:lncRNA from 1 species